CUAACAUAUAAAUGCUCAUAUGCAUUUUUUAAUUAUUGUCACAAGUGAUAUAAUCGAGUUCAUAGGCUUAAAAAUCUUUUACAUACAAAAGUCAAUCGAUGCAUCAAGAGAAGAAAUCUUACACUCUUCAGCAUUUGAUGUCAAGACUCAUUUUGGCCAUAAAACCUCAGAUUUUUCUUUUUAACAUUUACUGUGACUUUAAAAUGUCUUAUUCAAUAACACACAAGUUCCAUCUUUCAAAGAUUUGAGUAUAGAUUUUGUUCGGCUUUAAACUGCAUUUGUAAAUUAAAACAGAUUUGUAAGCUAAGGAGGAAAAGAGGAAAGAGGUCAUUUUUAAAUGAGUUAAGAAGAUGAGUUUAACAGAAGUUUUUGUUUUCUGUGGACCUCAAGUGGUUGAACUGUGUUAACCAUAAUGAUUUGUUCAUACUGUAUCUUUGUCAUAUUAGUUCAUGCAAGACUUUCUCUACUAUUUGUCUAAUAAUAAGCCUGGGUAUUUUUAUACUUUUUAAAUGCAGAAUUUAAACAUAUUGUUUUUGCAUCCACCACAUGUCACCAGAAGAACUACCACCUUUUUGAAAUCUAAAAAUGUAACUUGCACAAUUUCCCACAACAUAAUAAUAGAAGACUACAUCAUUUUAAUGGCUACCUGGCAUUUUUGUGUCUACCAUAUGAACCAAUCCUAUCCUGUAGCAGUGUGCUUGGAUCUAUAUUGUUUCCAGUGUUUUACUACAAUCCAUAAUUGCUCUCCUGAACAUAAACAUUUAUGCUAAACUUGGCGUAUAGACUAGGACUAGCUUCCCAGAAGUGACACUAUUGGGUCAUGAGAAAGGGAGUCUGAUUGGUAGAGACAAAGUUUCCCCCAGACAAGAAAUUCAGGGAAGGUGCAGAGAAGAGAAACGAGUAAGGACUUUAUGGCCAUAUUUGCUUGGCAGAAGUAACAAAAAAAAUGACAAGAGGGGGACAGAUCGUAGCACUUCUAAGAGUAAAAAAAGAGCCAAGCAGGCUUGGAAGUUUGUAUUUGAAACAAACACUAAUGAACCAGUUGUAGGUUCUUAAGAACUAAAGGCUAUUAAAGAAGAAUACUUCCAGAGAUCAACUAACCGGGAGAGGUGUGAAACAAUGAAAAUUUGAUGUUGGGUGAUGACUCUGAAAACCACAGGACUUGAAUAACUGAAUUUAAAGGGCAAAGAGAAGGGAAAGGUCAUUUUGGAAAAGGAUUCCAAAUUUUCCAGGCUGGACAACCCAGAAACCACAGAAUCCUAAGAUUCUCUGAUGAUGACUCAAGACGGUGAAGAAAGGAUUGGCAUUUCAUGGACUGAGGAGCCUGGCAGGCUACAGUCCAUGGGGUCACAGAGGGUAGUAACACUUUCGCUUAUAUUAUUUUAUAAUUUAUUUAUAAAUAUAUAUAUAAUAUUUACUGAGACAAUAAACACUACAGGACAGAUAGUAAGUAACCUGGCAAUAGGAGAUGGCUGACUGGCAGAACAGGCUACUUAAUUAGUAGAUCCCAGAGCAAUAGAAAAUUGUGGGGCACUUACUCAAAUUUUUUUUUAAACAUUUCAAAGGGUGAUAGCAGAAUAUUAAACCAAGUGUGGGCCCAAGAAGCCGGCCCUGGUGAUCAGGUGAUAAGCACCGAUCUAGCGACCUAGAAACCAGGAGGCAACGCCCAAAGGACUAACCACACCUUCGCCCUCCC
ensembl:lncRNA